ACGGGUGAGUAAUGUCUGGGAAACUGCCUGAUGGAGGGGGAUAACUACUGGAAACGGUAGCUAAUACCGCAUAACGUCGCAAGACCAAAGAGGGGGACCUUCGGGCCUCUUGCCAUCGGAUGUGCCCAGAUGGGAUUAGCUAGUAGGUGGGGUAACGGCUCACCUAGGCGACGAUCCCUAGCUGGUCUGAGAGGAUGACCAGCCACACUGGAACUGAGACACGGUCCAGACUCCUACGGGAGGCAGCAGUGGGGAAUAUUGCACAAUGGGCGCAAGCCUGAUGCAGCCAUGCCGCGUGUAUGAAGAAGGCCUUCGGGUUGUAAAGUACUUUCAGCGGGGAGGAAGGCGUUGAGGUUAAUAACCUCGUCGAUUGACGUUACCCGCAGAAGAAGCACCGGCUAACUCCGUGCCAGCAGCCGCGGUAAUACGGAGGGUGCAAGCGUUAAUCGGAAUUACUGGGCGUAAAGCGCACGCAGGCGGUCUGUCAAGUCGGAUGUG
rnacentral:rRNA from 1 species